rnacentral:misc_RNA from 1 species
AUAGUGAAAUUAUAUAAAGAAAAUCACCUGUUAAAAUAUACUAAAAUAUCAAGGUCAUUGGUGGCAAGAAAAGUAUCUACAAACUUACAAAGACAAUUGCAUAUUGGAGCCUCAAUAUUUGGUGUGCAAAGAAAUUUUUUGUCAUUAAAAUUUAUGUAUCAAUGACAAAUAAGAAGUGUAGAAGUACAAAAAUAGUUGAUCUCUUGUAUAGGAUGGAUGUGCAAGAUAUAUAUGUCAGAUUCUCAGAAAGUGGUAUCCAGAAUGCUAGACGGUACCUUAUUCUUGCACUUCAGUGAUAUGAAGCCAACUCAAGACGCACUGCAUAUAAUAAUGAUCAAGUAAUUUCCUUUCUCAAAUGAAAAAAGAAAAAAAAA